rnacentral:piRNA from 1 species
UCCCGAGAUCUGAGUUUGGUGACUGGG